GUUUUCUUCUGUUUUUACUGUCAGGUGAGCGCUGUUACAUUUCAACAAUCUCCUGCUCAGAUAGUAGAGGAGAGCACUGAGGAGGCGGUAUCUCUACACA